CAUGACAAAUAUGACUGGAUAGAAUCAACGGCGCUCUGUUCUACGCAUCCGCACGCUUACCUUGCUGAUGUUACUGAUAACUCAGAGAACGCGUUUAUCAAGGGGCUCAUUGUCAACAGGUUCGCCAAUGCAAGAGAUGCUCAUGUUUGGCUUGGAGCUACAGAUGAAAUAACCGAAGGGGAGUUCGUCUGGAAUGUCAGUAAUCAGAAGGUCAACUACACAGACUGGGGUCCUGGUGAG